CGCUCCCUCUUGCCGGCUCCUGCUAUUGAACCAGAUCCAAGUGCAAUGUUUAAUACCCCAGGGGUGACGUGCUGCCGAGAUGAAUAGCCUUCUAAGAAUGACUUCAAGCUCAAGCACAUGACAGUUCCCACCUAGUCACUGGAAAAGGGAUGAAGAU